GCUUGGUUACUACAAUUUAGCAUGGCUGCCAGUUUCUACGGAAACAUCUACAAGUAUUGGAUGAAGAUCGAGGAUCUCAGUAUUAUGUGUUGUGAUUUCUUGACCAGAACGUUCAGAGGGUUUGGUUUACCCCCUCUUUUGGUGUGGGCACUCUCUGGAAUGGUCAUUCCUUACUGGCUUGUCACCUUCAUGGUUUAUCGUUUCCACUACAAUUACAUCUUGGGGGAAACAAUGUAUGGUGGACAUUGCUGGAUUGUUAUGAUGGGUUUGUAUUGGUGCCAACUGUGCUUCUUCAUUAUUUCAGUUAAAUA
rnacentral:ribozyme from 1 species